rnacentral:rRNA from 1 species
UACGAGGGGUGCAAACGUUAUUCGGAUUUACUGGGUGUAAAGGGUGUGUAGACGGUUUGUUAAGUUCGUUGUUAAAUUUUUCGGCCUAACCGGAAACUUGCGAUGGAAACUGGCAGGCUUGAGAGUGAAAGAGAGAAGCGGAAUUCUCGGAGUAGCGGUAAAAUGCGUAGAUCUCGAGAGGAACACCGAUGGCGAAAGCAGCUUCUUGGUUCACUUCUGACGUUGAGACACGAAAGCGUGGGGAGCAAACAGG